rnacentral:rRNA from 1 species
GACGGACGCUGGCGGCGUGCUUAACACAUGCAAGUCGAACGGAAAGGCCCUCACCUUGGUGGGGGUGCUCGAGUGGCGAACGGGUGAGUAACACGUGGGUGAUCUGCCCUGUACUUCGGGAUAAGCUUGGGAAACUGGGUCUAAUACCGGAUAGGACCAUGGUUUAGUGUCUCAUGGUGGAAAAAUUAUUGUUUUGGUGCAGGAUGAGCUCGCGGCCUAUCAGCUUGUUGGUGGGGUAAUGGCCUACCAAGGCGUCGACGGGUAGCCGGCCUGAGAGGGUGGACGGCCACAUUGGGACUGAGAUACGGCCCAGACUCCUACGGGAGGCAGCAGUGGGGAAUAUUGCACAAUGGGCGCAAGCCUGAUGCAGCGACGCCGCGUGGGGGAUGACGGCCUUCGGGUUGUAAACUCCUUUCGUUAGGGACGAAGCCACACUUUUUUUGGGUGUGGUGACGGUACCUUUGUUAAGAAGCACCGGCUAACUACGUGCCAGCAGCCGCGGUAAUACGUAGGGUGCGAGCGUUGUCCGGAAUUACUGGGCGUAAAGAGCUCGUAGGUGGUUUGUUGCGUCGUCUGUGAAAUUCCGGGGCUUAACUUCGGGGUGGCAGGCGAUACGGGCAUAACUAGAGUGCUGUAGGGGAGACUGGAAUUCCUGGUGUAGCGGUGGAAUGCGCAGAUAUCAGGAGGAACACCGAUGGCGAAGGCAGGUCUCUGGGCAGUAACUGACGCUGAGGAGCGAAAGCAUGGGGAGCGAACAGGAUUAGAUACCCUGGUAGUCCAUGCUGUAAACGGUGGGCGUUAGGUGUGGGGACCGGUUUGGUUUCUGUGCCGUAGCUAACGCAUUAAGCGCCCCGCCUGGGGAGUACGGCCGCAAGGCUAAAACUCAAAGGAAUUGACGGGGGCCCGCACAAGCGGCGGAGCAUGUGGAUUAAUUCGAUGCAACGCGAAGAACCUUACCUGGGUUUGACAUGCACCAGACGGUUGUAGAGAUACGUACCUCCCUUUGUGGUUGGUGUGCAGGUGGUGCAUGGUUGUCGUCAGCUCGUGUCGUGAGAUGUUGGGUUAAGUCCAGCAACGAGCGCAACCCUUGUCUUAUGUUGCCAGCACGUUUGGGUGGGGACUCAUGAGAGACUGCCGGGGUUAACUCGGAGGAAGGUGGGGAUGACGUCAAAUCAUCAUGCCCUUUAUGCCCAGGGCUUCACACAUGCUACAAUGGUUAGUACAACGCGCGGCGAGCCUGUGAGGGUGAGCGAAUCACUGAAAGCUAAUCUCAGUUCGGAUUGGGGUCUGCAACUCGACCCCAUGAAGUCGGAGUCGCUAGUAAUCGCAGAUCAGCAAUGCUGCGGUGAAUACGUUCCCGGGCCU